UUGAAAGAGAAAACCCUAAAUUUUCACUUUCCCGGGUUCUCCAAAAUUUCCCUCUCUGAGUUUCAAUUUCCCACCAUGGAAUCUCGCCAAAUUCACUUUAGAAUUCACCCCGUUCAUUUACUCAAACCCAGGUAUCAGAGUAGAUCGAUUCAUUCGAUCCCCAAAACAAACAGACCCAAGCCACCGCAGCUCUUCGCUCUCCCCCCCAAGCCACCGCAGCUGCACCGCGCCUCUGCUCCACGCCUCCACCGCGUCUCUACCUCAGACUCCCUCUGGUCCGCGCCUCUGCCUCUAAACGAGUCUAUCAUAUGAAGUGUUUUCGUAUUUCAAAACAACCACCACUUGUUCCUCACCAACUCAUCCAGAAUUCAUAUUUCUGCAAGAACCAGGUUUGACAUUUUCAAAUACUUGUCAGAAAUUUUACAUGGAAGCAAAUUCUGUUGGAAUUGGAAAGGCUCAGAAAGAGACAAGUCCAACUACACUUUCAUGGUUCUUCUGCAUGCUCAGUAAGAACCCUCUAAUAAGGAGAAAGUUGCACAAGAAGUGAGGGAUGUCGUUGGUAUAAAUCAUGAAGCUAACAUUGAUGAAUUUGUGGCAGAUAUAACUGAUGCAGCUCUCGAACAAAUGCAUCAUCUUCACGCUACUCUAACUGAGACUUUGAGGCUA